CCACGGGAGGCAGCAGUGGGGAAUAUUCCGCAAUGGGCGCAAGCCUGACGGAGCAAUGCCGCGUGAGGGAAGAAGGCCUUCGGGUUGUAAACCUUUGUUUUAUGGGAAGAUAGUGACGGUACCAUAAGAGGAAGCCCCGGCUAACUACGUGCCAGCAGCCGCGGUAA
rnacentral:rRNA from 1 species